rnacentral:rRNA from 1 species
GGAGGGUGCAAGCGUUGUCCGGAUUUAUUGGGUUUAAAGGGUGCGUAGGCGGCCUAUUAAGUCAGUGGUGAAAGGUAUCAGCUUAACUGAUGACGUGCCAUUGAAACUGAUGGGCUUGAGUACAGACGAGGUAGGCGGAAUUUAUGGUGUAGCGGUGAAAUGCAUAGAUACCAUAAAGAACACCGAUAGCGAAGGCAGCUUACUAGGCUGAGACUGACGCUGAGGCACGAAAGCGUGGGGGGAGCGAACAGGAUUAGAUACCCUGGUAGUCCACGCUGUAAACCGAUGAUUACUGGAUGUGUGCGAUACACAGUACGCGUCUGAGCGAAAGCGUUAAGUAAUCCACCUGGGAGUACGAUCGCAAGAUUG